GAUAGGUCUACCAGCGUGUCGACCGUACAGCGCUGAAGUAGCCGGCAACAUUGAAACUAGGAAACACUGCACAGAUGUCCUGUACCGGAGACGGCAGGCACAKGGGAAUAUGGCCAAAUGGGGUAAGGCCUGAUGCAGCAUGCGCGUGAAGGGAAKGACGCCCUUUCGGUUGUAAACAUCUUUUUUAGGAGGAGGUACAGAAWACUUGAAAAGUGACGGGUACCUUGCAGAAAAAAGCGCGGCUAAACUAUGUGCCAGCAGCCGGCGGUAAUAACGGAGGGUGCAAGCGUUAAUCCGGGAUUUAUUUGGGCGUAAAGMGCUGCGUAGGCGGUUCAWUUACGUCAAAUGUGAAAUCCCCGAGCUCAACUUGGGACUUGCAKUGGGUACGGGUAGGCUAGAGUGYGGUAGGGGAGGUUAGAAUUCCAGGUGUAGCGGUGAAAUGCGUAGAGAUCUGGAGGAACACCGAUGGCGAAGGCAGMCAUCUGGCCUAAUACUGACACUGAGGAGCGAAAGGAUGGGGAGCAAACAGGAUUAGAUACCCUGGUAGUCCACCCCGUAAACGAUGUGUACUAGCCGUGGGGUCCAUUUGAGGAUUUCGUGACGCAGCUAACGCGAUAAGUAGACCGCCUGGGGAGUACGGCCGCAAGGCUAAAACUCAAAGGAAUUGACGGGGACCCGCACAAGCGGCGGAGCAUGUGGAUUAAUUCGAUGCAACGCGAAGAACCUUACCAAGUCUUGACAUAUAGAGAACGGUCCAGAAAUGGAUCGAGUCUUUGGACACUUACAAACAGGUGGUGCAUGGUUGUCGUCAGCUCGUGUCGUGAGAUGUUGGGUUAAGUCCCGCAACGAGCGCAACCCUCGUUCUAUGUUGCCAGCACGUAAUGGUGGGAACUCAUGGGAUACUGCCGGGGUCAACUCGGAGGAAGGUGGGGAUGACGUCAAGUCAUCAUGCCCCUUAUGUCUUGGGCUUCACACGUGCUACAAUGGCCGGUACAAAGGGCUGCAAUACCGUGAGAUGGAGCGAAUCUCAAAAAGCCGAUCCCAGUUCGGAUUGAGGUCUGCAACUCGACCUCAUGAAGUCGGAGUCGCUAGUAAUCGCGGAUCAGCAACGCUGCGGUGAAUACGUUCCCGGGCCUUGUACACACCGCCCGUCACRCCAUGGGAGUUGGUUGCACCAGAAAUAGSCAGUCCUAGCCCAGGGGGGACGCUAACCCCCCGUCGCCCGCUUACUCGGCCCU
rnacentral:rRNA from 1 species